rnacentral:rRNA from 1 species
AUUGAACGCUGGCGGCAUGCUUUACACAUGCAAGUCGAACGGCAGCGCGGGCUUCGGCCUGGCGGCGAGUGGCGAACGGGUGAGUAAUGCAUCGGAACGUGCCCAGUAGUGGGGGAUAGCCCGGCGAAAGCCGGAUUAAUACCGCAUACGACCUGAGGGUGAAAGCGGGGGACCGAAAGGCCUCGCGCUAUUGGAGCGGCCGAUGUCGGAUUAGCUAGUUGGUGGGGUAAAGGCUUUCCAAGGCGACGAUCCGUAGCUGGUCUGAGAGGACGACCAGCCACACUGGGACUGAGACACGGCCCAGACUCCUACGGGAGGCAGCAGUGGGGAAUUUUGGACAAUGGGGGCAACCCUGAUCCAGCCAUGCCGCGUGCGGGAAGAAGGCCUUCGGGUUGUAAACCGCUUUUGUUCGGGAAGAAAUCCUCUGGGCUAAUACCCCGGGGGGAUGACGGUACCGGAAGAAUAAGCACCGGCUAACUACGUG